rnacentral:rRNA from 1 species
UACGAAAGUGGCAAGCGUUGUUCGGAUUUACUGGGCGUAAAGGGAGCGUAGGUGGUUAGGUAAGCCCUCCGGGAAAUCUUCAGGCUUAACCUGAAAAGGUCGGGGGGGACUGCCUGGCUAGAGGACGGGAGAGGAGCGCGGAAUUCCCGGUGUAGCGGUGAAAUGCGUAGAGAUCGGGAGGAAGGCCGGUGGCGAAGGCAGGUCUCUGGGCAUUAACUGACGCUGAGGAGCGAAAGCAUGGGGAGCGAACAGGAUAGAUACC